AGAAUGUUUCAGUAUUGCAUGGACAAGAGCUUCUGUUUGUUCAUUGUGCGAAUGCGUGUCUAAAGAAACUUUAAUCUAUACCGUGUGUCGAACUUGAAUGUCGUGAGAAUGUGCCAAUAGCGCUAUGUCCAUCGGUUGUUUACUUGUUUAUAAUGGAAAUAUUUGAAAGAAAGUCUACAAAAUGUUCGCUGAAUGCAGUCCUGCAUUGAUAGAAAUACAAUUCGAGCUGCGUUUUUACGGUAAGAUGAUUUAGAUGCACGUUGUUUACUUUAAUUCAUUGUGUUGUCUAAUUUAUAAAAGUUUGUGCAUCAAAUACUUGAAUGAGUUGAAUCCUUUGAAAAUGUUGACAUGAUUAUAAAUAUACGUACAUCUCAUGUUUUCAAUAGAAUUUUGACAAUGUUAGUUUUAUUUAGCUGGGGGAGAAUAUUUGAUUGAGGACUGGAAAAUUAAUUCAUGUCAGUUAACUCCAUUAAGAUGCAAUGUACCUGAUACUGUAUAAAUGCAACCUACUUUAUUAUAUUAUUCUGCCUAACACGUACAGGCAAUGUUAUUUGUUGAAAAUAUUCAGUGAUAAAGAUGAUUGCCACAGCUUUGUAGAAAGCAUGUUUUAGUUGUUUUAGCAGCCCAAUUGAGAUACGUAGUAGGGCUUGUACACCUAUAAACACAGUGCAUAACAAAGUCUGUGCCCUCUUUGUUUAUCUUUCAGUUGUUUUCAAACUUUUCAUCAAUGGAAGUGGUUACACAUGAGGAUAUUCUUGCCAUAACAUGACCAGGAUGAAGAACAUCUGGAUGUGAUGUGGCGAAUGAUGGCGAUAUAGCUUUGGAGACGAAAGCUGUUACUGGUACUUCAAUAUAGCUGUGAACCUUGGUUGCAUUGUAUACAAUAAAUACCCUUCAUAUCAAUAUCUUCAAUGGAACACUUACUAUCUUGGCAUAAAAAGAAUCGCACUGUACUGUCACCAUACAAAAUGUGUGAUGCUAUGCUGUACUGCAUUGAAACAACCACUACUAAUAGUGUUUGCCAUAAAUAGAAAUGCAAAAUUGGUUUUGGAAGAGUCUUGUAAUACUGACUUUUCUAGCACUCAAAAUAACGGGUCAAGGGUCAAUCAUCUGGCACACAAAAUAAUAUACAGUAGUUACAUAAAUUGUGUAUUUUACCCCCAAAACUCUGGUUUGAACAUCAUCCUGACCUAUUAAAUUCCCUGAUUUGUUUCAAGUGCUGUUUUUUGUUUGUGCUGUGUACUGACCACAGUAUAGGGAGACAACCAGUAGGGCCACUUAGGGGAGAGAAAAGUGGCAAUUAUUUAAGCUAGGUUCCAGGUGUCUUACGCGGCCAAAAUCAUUAUUCUGUAGUACAAUUUUAUAGUGGACUGCUGCCGUUUACUGGCUGCCAAUAUGUAAAUUAGGUUGGCAGCCAGUAAACAAUGUAGACACUUUUUUACGCUGAGUGGCCCUACUGUACUUUUCCUAUACUGUGGUACUGACUGUGGUUAUACCCAGGUUUUCUUUGCCCUGCAGGUUAUUUCUUGGCAUUUCCUAUUAUAUGCAGCUGUAGCAAAAGUGUUGGUAUUCUGUGAUGCCAUCUUACCAAUUCUGCAGUUUUAUAUGGCUAAUAAUAAACAAUGAACUGAUUAAAUACCUGCUAACAGUCUUAACACAUGGUGUGGUUUUAUUUAUUUCACUCUUAUAAAAGAUACUUAAGUAAACAGAUCACACAGAAUUGAUGUUCAAUAAAAUUUAUUUCUGUCAAAGUACAAAAAAUGUUAACAUUACUCUAAUAAUGCUACAUGAAAGGUGAAUGAUAAAAAUACACUGUAUACGAAUAGUGAUGCUUUUUUCUCUUAAUGAUGUACAUUAAACAUUCUAGAGGAAUUAUAUUUCUUUGUAAACCUAUAAAAUUGUAAUCAUUUGUGUUUGAACCUCACUGCAAAAUAACCACACCAAAACGGCCACACUCUGUUGCUGAUUCCAUGACAGGCUUAGAUUUAUGAUUAGAUUUACUUAGAUUCAAGUUCUGCUAAACUGUCAGAUUGGGUCAAACGAUAAUGGAUGUCAGCAUCUUGCAAACUUUUUUCUGUAGCAAACAGUUGUUAAUG